AUGAUUUCCCCCUGUCAGCUCCUCUGGCUCUUGGUGCUCUGGGCUCGGGAUUCCAAUGGGGCCAUUGUGCUGAUGCAGUCUCCAGCCUCCUUGUCCAGACCUCCAGGAGAGAGAGUCACCAUCAGCUGCAAGGCCAAUGAGAGUUUAAAAAUUUUUGGUUAUAGCUACUGUAAUUGGUACCAGCAGAAACCUGGCCAAGCCCCCAGGCUGCUCAUCUCCUUGGCUACCAGUCUGGCAUCAGGCGUACCUGCCCGGUUCACUGGCAGUGUGUCUGGGACAGAUUUCACUCUCACCAUCAGCAGCCUGGAGCCUGAGGAUGUUGGAGAUUAUUACUGUCAGCAGUCUACCAGCUUCCCUCCUUUUACAUUCAGUCCUGGAACAGCCUACAAACUAAUUCUCUUUAGAUUUGGUUUUCCUAUUAGUUCUGGCUACUGCAUUGCAUCUGGAGUGCCUGCCUGGUUCAUUGAUGAUGGGUCUGAGACAGAUUUCACUCUCACCAUCAGCAGCCUGGAGCCCGAAGAUGCUGGAGAUUUUUACUCUCAGCAGUCUAGGCUCUUCCAUUUCCCAUAG